rnacentral:rRNA from 1 species
UAGUUCGGGAUAGCCACUGGAAACGGUGAUUAAUACCGGAUACUCCUUCUUGUUAUAAGACAAGUCGGGAAAGUUUUUCGCUAAGGGAUCAGUCUAUGUUCCAUCAGCUUGUUGGUGAGGUAAUGGCUCACCAAGGCUAUGACGGAUAUCUGGUUUGAGAGGAUGAUCAGACACACUGGAACUGAGACACGGUCCAGACUCCUACGGGAGGCAGCAGUGAGGAAUAUUGCACAAUGGAGGAAACUCUGAUGCAGCAACGCCGCGUGGAGGAUGACGCAUUUCGGUGUGUAAACUCCUUUUAUUAGGGAAGAUAAUGACGGUACCUAAUGAAUAAGCACCGGCUAACUCCGUGCCAGCAGCCGCGGUAAUACGGAGGGUGCAAGCGUUACUCGGAAUCACUGGGCGUAAAGGGUGCGUAGGCUGGCUUUUAAGUCAGAUGUGAAAUCCAAUGGCUCAACCAUUGAACUGCAUUUGAAUCUGAAAGCCUAGAGUUCAGAAGGGGCAGAUGGAAUUAGUGGUGUAGGGGUAAAAUCCGUAGAUAUCACUAGGAAUAUCAAAAGCGAAGGCGAUCCGCUGGGAUGAUACUGACGCUG